CCUACGAGAGUCAGCAGUAGGGAAUCUUGCGCAAUGGGCGAAAGCCUGACGCAGCGACGCCGCGUGAGGGAUGAAGGUCUUCGGAUCGUAAACCUCUGUCGGCAGGGAAGAACGGUCACUGUGCUAAUCAGCAGUGAAUUGACGGUACCUGCCAAGGAAGCACCGGCUAACUCCGUGCCAGCAGCCGCGGUAAUACGGAGGGUGCGAGCGUUAAUCGGAAGUACUGGGCGUAAAGCGCUCGUAGGCGGUAUGUGAAGUCAAGGGUGAAAUCCCCGGGCUCAACGUGGGAAGUGCCUUUGAAUAUGGCAAACGGGAGUGUGUGAGAGGAUAGUGGAAUUCCAGGUGUAGGGGUGAA
rnacentral:rRNA from 1 species